rnacentral:rRNA from 1 species
UACGGAGGGGGCAAGCGUUACUCGGAAUUAUUGGGCGUAAAGGGCGCGUAGGCGGUCGUGUGCGUCGGAGGUGAAAUCCCCGGGCUUAACCCGGGAGCUGCCUCCGAUACGGCAUGGCUCGAAUCCGGGAGAGGGAUGUGGAAUUCCAGGUGUAGCGGUGAAAUGCGUAGAUAUCUGGAGGAACACCGGUGGCGAAGGCGGCAUCCUGGACCGGUAUUGACGCUGAUGCGCGAAAGCCAGGGGAGCAAACGGG